AGUGAACGCUGGCGGCAGGCCUAACACAUGCAAGUCGAACGGCAGCACAGUAAGAGCUUGCUCUUACGGGUGGCGAGUGGCGGACGGGUGAGGAAUACAUCGGAAUCUACUUUUUCGUGGGGGAUAACGUAGGGAAACUUACGCUAAUACCGCAUACGACCUACGGGUGAAAGCAGGGGAUCUUCGGACCUUGCGCGAUUGAAUGAGCCGAUGUCGGAUUAGCUAGUUGGCGGGGUAAAGGCCCACCAAGGCGACGAUCCGUAGCUGGUCUGAGAGGAUGAGCAGCCACACUGGAACUGAGACACGGUCCAGACUCCUACGGGAGGCAGCAGUGGGGAAUUUUGGACAAUGGGGGCAAGCCUGAUCCAGCCAUACCGCGUGGGUGAAGAAGGCCUUCGGGUUGUAAAGCCCUUUUGUUGGGGAAGAAAAGCUGUAGGUUAAUACCCCGCUGUUCUGACGGUACCCAAAGAAUAAGCACCGGCUAACUACGUG
rnacentral:rRNA from 1 species